GAUGAACGCUGGCGGCGUGCUUAACACAUGCAAGUCGAACGGAAAGGCCCAAGCUUGCUUGGGUACUCGAGUGGCGAACGGGUGAGUAACACGUGGGUGAUCUGCCCCGCACUUCGGGAUAAGCCUGGGAAACUGGGUCUAAUACCGGAUAGGACCACUUCUUGGAGGUUGUGGUGGAAAGUUUUUUCGGUGUGGGAUGAGCUCGCGGCCUAUCAGCUUGUUGGUGGGGUAAUGGCCUACCAAGGCGUCGACGGGUAGCCGGCCUGAGAGGGUGUACGGCCACAUUGGGACUGAGAUACGGCCCAGACUCCUACGGGAGGCAGCAGUGGGGAAUAUUGCACAAUGGGCGCAAGCCUGAUGCAGCGACGCCGCGUGGGGGAUGACGGCCUUCGGGUUGUAAACUCCUUUCGCUAGGGACGAAGCGCAAGUGACGGUACCUAGAGAAGAAGCACCGGCUAACUACGUGC
rnacentral:rRNA from 1 species